rfam:TPA: Bos taurus chromosome 4, whole genome shotgun sequence.
UCCCUGAUGGCUCAGUUGGUAAAGAAUCCGCCUGUAAUGCAGGAGACCCCGGUUUGACUCCUGAGUCGGGGAG